rnacentral:rRNA from 2 species
GUGCCCUUGAGGCGUGGCUUCCGGAGCUAACGCGUUAAGUCGACCGCCUGGGGAGUACGGCCGCAAGGUUAAAACUCAAAUGAAUUGACGGGGGCCCGCACAAGCGGUGGAGCAUGUGGUUUAAUUCGAUGCAACGCGAAGAACCUUACCUGGUCUUGACAUCCACGGAAGUUUUCAGAGAUGAGAAUGUGCCUUCGGGAACCGUGAGACAGGUGCUGCAUGGCUGUCGUCAGCUCGUGUUGUGAAAUGUUGGGUUAAGUCCCGCAACGAGCGCAACCCUUAUCCUUUGUUGCCAGCGGUCCGGCCGGGAACUCAAAGGAGACUGCCAGUGAUAAACUGGAGGAAGGUGGGGAUGACGUCAAGUCAUCAUGGCCCUUACGACCAGGGCUACACACGUGCUACAAUGGCGCAUACAAAGAGAAGCGACCUCGCGAGAGCAAGCGGACCUCAUAAAGUGCGUCGUAGUCCGGAUUGGAGUCUGCAACUCGACUCCAUGAAGUCGGAAUCGCUAGUAAUCGUGGAUCAGAAUGCCACGGUGAAUACGUUCCCGGGCCUUGUACACACCGCCCGUCACACCAUGGGAGUGGGUUGCAAAAGAAGUAGGUAGCUUAACCUUCGGGAGGGCGCUUACCACUUUGUGAUUCAUGACUGGGGUGAAGUCGUAACAAGGUAACCGUAGGGGAACCUGCGGUUGGAUCAC